rnacentral:rRNA from 1 species
UACGUAGGGUGCGAGCGUUGUCCGGAAUUACUGGGCGUAAAGAGCUCGUAGGUGGUUUGUCGCGUUGUUCGUGAAAACUCACAGCUCAACUGUGGGCGUGCGGGCGAUACGGGCAGACUGGAGUACUGCAGGGGAGACUGGAAUUCCUGGUGUAGCGGUGGAAUGCGCAGAUAUCAGGAGGAACACCAAUAGCGAAGGCAGCUCGCUGGGACGGUACUGACGCUAAGGCGCGAAAGCGUGGGGAGCGAACAGG